rnacentral:rRNA from 1 species
UGGGGAAUCUUCCGCAAUGGGCGAAAGCCUGACGGAGCAACGCCGCGUGAACGAUGAAGGUCUUAGGAUCGUAAAGUUCUGUUGUUAGGGACGAAGGAUAAGGAUUAUAAUACAGUCUUUGUUUGACGGUACCUAACGAGGAAGCCACGGCUAACUACGUGCCAGCAGCCGCGGUAAUACGUAGGCGGCAAGCGUUGUCCGGAAUUAUUGGGCGUAAAGGGAGCGCAGGCGGGAAACUAAGCGGAUCUUAAAAGUGCGGGGCUCAACCCCGUGAUGGGGUCCGAACUGGUUUUCUUGAGUGCAGGAGAGGAAAGCGGAAUUCCCAGUGUAGCGGUGAAAUGCGUAGAUAUUGGGAAGAACACCAGUGGCGAAGGCGGCUUUCUGGACUGUAACUGACGCUGAGGCUCGAAAGUGUGGGUAUCAAACA